UAUAAAAAUUCUGAUGGUGAUGUUUCAAGUUCACUUGGUGGAGUUCAACUGAUUUUGGUAGUUUCAAUCUUGUCUCGUUUUUGGGGGUGUUGGGCAAAGGAAAAAGGUAGGUCAUAAAAAUGUAGGUUUGUGUUGGAGAAGGUAUCGGCAACCUUCUCUAGCAAAAUGGGAAAAUUUAGAGUCAUAAAGCCCGGCUAGCAAGGGAUUAGGUGGCAGAGUACUGAGAGAGUGUUUUUUUAUUAUCAAGAGCUAUGGAUGGGGGCUGAAAUAUGGAAUUGUUAAAAUGAGGAAUUUUCUGAACAAAGGCUCCAUGGGGUUUUCCCCAACAGAUGUCAAGAAAGAUGUUUUUUCUCCAUCCGAUCAUCCGAGUCACUCAACGAUAAAAAAUGUAUAAACAAACUCAUCCUUUUUCGUGAUUGAAGCACGAAACAAUACUUGUCCCUUUGAUUCCAUUAUACAAAUAUUGCUUAGUGCUGCAAUGGAUGAUGAAAACUAUUCGGUGACGUUGAAAUCUUCAGAGAACAAAACUAUGCAGUUUGUUAUCAACUUAAUGCAAACAGGGACAUACAAACGCAUUUACGAUGCAAGAGUGAGCUUAUUGACCAGCGUCUUCCCUGAACUGAUCCACGAACAUCUGGGUGAUUCAGGCCUGAAUUCCUAUUCACUGGAUAUUUUUGGCAAUGUAACUACAACAUGGGAACGGUGUUUUUACACAGAGCCUUCAGCUCAUCUCACGUUUGACUGUCGUCAAUGUGGUGAAUACAUGAAACGGAGAUACAGCUUGUCUGUCAAUCACCGUAUCAUUGGCGAGAUAGGAUUCCAAGCUCUAACUCAAUGUGAAAACUUUAAUGAGCCUGGUACCUAUCAUUGUAUCAAUGAAUCCUGUGAUGAGUUUUGUACGGUAAACAUUGAUUAUCAAUCCCAAGUGUUUGUGGAAUUGGAUAUUCGACUAAAUGUUACUCACAAAACGGGAUUAGAAUGUAAAUUAUCUGAUUUACCAACGAUUAUUGAGUUGAAGUCCCAGAAAUAUCGAUUGGUUGGAAUCAUUGAACACAAACAUCAUCACUACAAGGCCUAUUGUUAUCGUGGAAUGACUCACUGGGAAAUACACGAUGAUUGUAGAGCCAAAAUCGACCGAUGUGAUAAGAACAAGAAGAUAGAACCUCAUGCUGCAGUUUACGUUCAUUUCAAUGCUCCUAAGCGAAAAAUAUUUCCACCAGCGAUGAGUGAACAAAAUGAAGAAGGAACAAUACCAGUAACGGAGAUGAACAACGUUAAGAGAAUCCGAACAGAACAAGUGAUAUCUAUGGACAAGUGUAACGAACGGACAUUGAUAAAAAGAGAAACAAAUAGGGAAGUUUUGGACGAUUCAGACACUAUAUCUCAUGAUAAUUGGCGAGGCAAAGAAGCAAAAGAAAUUGUAAUAGAUCAUUCAUUACCAUUUGAGAGUGACACAGCUGAUAGCAGUCAAUCUCUUGUUGAAGAAACCAUAUAUUUACUACAAAAAGGAGAAUCUCAAAGUGGAAUAAUCGUUAAUAAUACCAUUAUUAACAUUGUCAAAUCCUCCGCUUUUGAUGCAGUGAUCAACUUACUGUGGUGUACUCUGCGAAACAAUCCCGAUUACGCUGCUUUAAUCAACAAUUCAGAAGGAAAUGAGACAUUCGAAUUAAUCAAUAGUCUUCUUUCCAAUCAAUUUCACGAUCUCAUCUACAGGAGCAGGGCGCAAAUAUUGUUAUCUCUUUGUGACACUGACGUACGUUAUUCUACUGAGAAAAUGUGGUAUGACAUUCCAAUAUUAGAAAUCGAAGUAUGUGGUACACCAGCCGAUGUUUGAAGGAAUUGUCUUUUUAAUGAACCGAGCCAAUGGAAAAAGUAUGAUUGUACAUGUGGGAGCUAUAUCCAACCCAUUUCGAUCUUGGAGCCGAAUAUUCCUAAAUCAUUGAUCACAUUAAACAAGUUACUUUUACCUCUGGAGUUUCAUAAAGUUUUAAAAAAGGUGCAAUGUCGCCGACCUCUUUGAAGCAGCAGAUGCAAUGUACAGACAACACCCAAUUUCCAUCUAUUCAUUCAUUUGAAGCGAUCAACUAAGUGUUUGCUGGGGAAUGAAUUUAAAAUGAUUGAAAUGGGCGAUCAGUUUCAAAUUGCUGGGGUCAUCAGUGCAUUUCAUGACCGAUACGUGGCCUUUUGUUUAGUGAAUGGAAAGUGGUGGUUGUACGACAACCAGCAGCCAAACAUCCAAAUGACAUCAGAUGUAGAAUUCGUUGAACUGGUUGGAUUAGUUUAUAUUUUAAAAAGUGCAAUGAGUUGCUAAGCAUGUUAAAAAAAAUAUCAAUUACCAAAGUUAUUCUAUCAAAGAUGAAUAUUUAUUUGUUUUUCAAUAAAAAAAUAUAAUGAUUACAAAAUUUA